GAUGAACGCUGGCGGCGUGCCUAAUACAUGCAAGUCGAGCGAACAGACGAGGAGCUUGCUCCUUCGACGUUAGCGGCGGACGGGUGAGUAACACGUAGGUAACCUACCUAUAAGACUGGGAUAACUUCGGGAAACCGGAGCUAAUACCGGAUAAUAUUUCGAACCGCAUGGUUCGAUAGUGAAAGAUGGCUUUGCUAUCACUUAUAGAUGGACCUGCGCCGUAUUAGCUAGUUGGUAAGGUAACGGCUUACCAAGGCAACGAUACGUAGCCGACCUGAGAGGGUGAUCGGCCACACUGGAACUGAGACACGGUCCAGACUCCUACGGGAGGCAGCAGUAGGGAAUCUUCCGCAAUGGGGGAAAGCCUGACGGAGCAACGCCGCGUGAGUGAUGAAGGUAUUCGGAGCGUAAAACUCUGUUAUUAGGGAAGAACAAACGUGUAAGUAACUGUGCACGUCUUGACGGUACCUAAUCAGAAAGCCACGGCUAACUACGUG
rnacentral:rRNA from 1 species